GAUUCUAUUUCUUAAUUCGGAUAUCGUUUCUCCUUCUCCACCAUCUUUAGCUCACGCAACAUACAAGGCGUGUACAGGCGGCAUACUUUACCAAUCACUUUGCGCAAUGCGACAGAGCGUCGUACGAACCCGAGGACUUUACGGUUCCGUUGAUUAAAUUGCCUACGAAUAAAACUGUGAUAUUCGUCGGACCGACUAGAAUUGGAAAAACCCAAUUUGCUCUUGCACAUUUCGAAAAUCCCAUAAUCAUUCGAGGGAAGCAAGAUUGGCUGCGUUUCAAACCCGGACAUACGGAUGGAGUCAUUUUGGACGACAUUGUAUUCCGGAAAUGAGUACCGGAAACUCUACUCCACACAAUGAAAACGGAAACGGCAUACACUCAGGAUGUCAAGUACGGAUCAGAGUCCCGGCCGGACUGAGGAAAAUACACGAAGAGAAAGAGGCAAACACCGCAAAGCAAAGACGUUUUUCCAAUUCCUAUUUCACAUGAGCGACAACUUUAGCAACUAUUAUUACGGAAGAGGAGAAAGAGAUAGAGAAAGAGGAGAAAUUAACACCAUGGUGAAAAAAGCUUAUCAAGGUGUAAGGGCAAUUAAGAUAUUUGAUAUUUUUAAUAUUUUGACCUGUCGAAUGUAUUUGUAAGAGCUUUAUUCACCUGAAGAGGGUCCGAAUUUGGACCAAAACGUCGUAUUAUCUAUUAAUAAAUUUGCCAGUUAUGGUCAAGGAAGUUUGUUAAUAUGAUAUUUUAUAUUCACUGGUGAAGAAAAUUUCUUAUCAUUGUUGAAUUAUAUACCUUUGACUGAAAAAUGGUGUUCUAUC